AGAGUAGCAGGCCGUUAUUUCGAAAUGAUCGGCUCCAGUCAAUGACUACUUAUGACAGCAAAAGGGAAACAUCAGCUCCGGGGAGCCCCCAUGUAAAUGGGGAGUUGAAAGAAAGAUCAGGAAUAAUGGAACGAGAACAUUUUCACGAAGCACAAUCACAGAAGAACAGAAUGUCCUGAUGUUUGGAAGCUGACCACAGGGAAUGUCAGGAUGCCAAAAAUCUCCUUUGGGACAUUAGAUAUGCCUUGAAUUUCACCACUACAAGUUCUACCAUCAGGGAAAACCACUAACAUCUCUGGCCCUGUUUAAACAAGGAACCAGAGUUUCUUGAAGAAAUGUCUGAGUCCAGAUUCAUGGAAGGAAAUAUACAAGUCUGGAAAGUCUUGUUAUACCAGAAAACAGAAUGACCAACAGAACUGGACUUAAAUCAUUCAUCCAUGGACUUAGCUGGUUAGUGAAAAAUGCAGGACUAGAACCUGAGUUUCCUGACGGCUAUUCCUGUGCACCAGCUCCCCACCCAGCCCUGAGAAUUGGUAGACAUCGUCUAAUGUCACCCCUUCCGCUUAGCUGCCCCGAAAGGCAGGCAAUGAUGAAUGGCGCCUACUACAAAAGAAAGCCGCAGGCACACAUGGGCCCGGUGUUGUUUCUGUCAGGGCAGCUCAAAGGGAAGGCCGCACCACACGGUGA
rnacentral:lncRNA from 10 species